GAUGAAGAACGCAGCGAAAUGCGAUAAGUAAUGUGAAUUGCAGAAUUCAGUGAAUCAUCGAAUCUUUGAACACACAUUGCGCCCCUUGGUAUUCCGAGGGGCAUGCCUGUUCGAGCGUCAUUAUAACCCCUCAAGCUCAGCUUGGUGUUGGGGCCUGCCGCACGGGCAGCCCUUAAAAUCAGUGGCGGUGCCAUCUGGCUCUAAGCGUAGUAAUUCUUCUCGCUAUAGAGUCCCGGUGGAUGCUUGCCAUUAACCCCCAAUUUUCUAUGGUUGACCUCGGAUCAGGUAGGGAUACCCGCUGAACUUAAGCAUAUCAAUAAGCGGAGGA
rnacentral:misc_RNA from 1 species